rnacentral:pre_miRNA from 1 species
UACAAUGUUUUGACCUUUUGUCUUAUUUGAAAUUUUUUUGCGAUUAAUAUUUUUAUUCUUACUAUAAGAUAAAACAUGAAUAGUACUUUAUGCGUGACUAAUUUUUUUAAGUUUUUUUUAUAAAUUUUUCAAAUAAGACAAAUGAUCAAACGCUAGACACAGAAA